AGCAGCCGCGGUAAUUCCAGCUCCAAUAGCGUAUAUUAAAGUUGUUGCAGUUAAAAAGCUCGUAGUUGAAUUUCGGGGCCGGUAGGUUGGUCGUGCCACUGGUAUGCACUGGCCUUACUGGUCCCUCCCUCUUGUAGAACCGUGAUGCCAUUAAUUUGGUGUUGCGGGGAAACAGGACUGUUACUUUGAAAAAUUAGAGUGCUUAAAGCAGGCUCGCGCUUGAAUACAUUAGCAUGGAAUAACGGAAUAGGACGAUCGAACCUAUUUUGUUGGUUUCUAGGAUCGACGUAAUGAUUAAUAGGGAUAGUUGGGGGCAUUAGUAUUCAAUUGUCAGAGGUGAAAUUCUUGGAUUUAUUGAAGACUAACUACUGCGAAAGCAUUUGCCAAGGAUGUUUUCAUUAAUCAAGAACGAAAGUUAGGGGAUCGAAGACGAUCAGAUACCGUCGUAGUCUUAACCAUAAACUAUGCCGACUAGGGAUCGGAUGAAGUUAAUUUUUAAUGACUCAUU
rnacentral:rRNA from 1 species